rnacentral:rRNA from 1 species
UACGGAGGGAGCUAGCGUUGUUCGGAAAUACUGGGCGUAAAGCGCACGUAGGCGGCGCAGCAAGUCAGGGGUGAAAUCCCGGGGCUCAACCCCGAAACUGCCCUUGAAACUGCAGUGCUAGAAUUCUGGAGAGGCGAGUGGAAUUCCGAGUGUAGAGGUGAAAUUCGUAGAUAUUCGGAAGAACACCAGUGGCGAAGGCGACUCGCUGGACAGACAUUGACGCUGAGGUGCGAAAGCGUGGGGAGCAAACAGG